rnacentral:ribozyme from 1 species
UGCCCAGCAACUCCUAUCCCUACCUCCGCGUGGCACCGGCCGGUCUGCGAACAAUCUUAGGAAAGAUCGGGUAACCAACCCCGGCAGGAACGUUGGUCGUAGGCUGACAGGGAUGC